rnacentral:sRNA from 1 species
GGGUCGCUGCGAACCCCGGCGUUCCGCGGUGGAGGGGUGCUAUACUGGGAUGCAGGCGCGGCAAUCAUGCCCUGGGAGCUAAUGUAGAGCUUUGGAUAAUGCUUUUGCAAGUUGUACGAGAAGGGAAGUUCUUGGGGUUUCUGACCUCCUGCAGCCUCCUCUUGCCUCGGGCUGCCCAGAUCUUGGCGGCUGAGGCUGGCUUACCUUCAAGCCGUUCCUUCAUGGGAUUUGCUGCUCCCUUCACCAACAAGCGAAAGGCUUACUCGGAGCGUAGAAUCAUGGGGUACUCAAUGCAGGAGAUGUAUGAGGUGGUGUCCAACGUCCAGGAGUAUCGUGAGUUUGUGCCCUGGUGUAAGAAGUCUCUGGUGGUAUCCAGCCGUAAGGGUCACUUGAAAGCCCAGCUGGAGGUUGGCUUUCCACCUGUCAUGGAACGUUACACCUCUGCAGUUUCCAUGGUCAAACCUCACAUGGUCAAGGUGAGGCCUGUAUGGGAGGGAUUGACAAGAUUUUUUGUUUUUAGCAGUUUCAUAUGAAAGUGCUAUUUUGGCCUUCCUUGUUAAGGACUUUAUGUCCAUGUGUCAAGUAUUUCCCUAAUAUCAGAAAAGAAGGAAAAUGGCUUUCAAUUCCUUUAUAUUGUAUCCUAUACUUAGUAA